rnacentral:lncRNA from 1 species
GUGUGCUCUUCCGAUCUGCCUAAUAGGCAUUAACAUCUGCAUGUGGGCCAUACAGUUCACAUGUUGUUUCCUUCCUGCCUUUACUGCUGCUUGCCAUGGUCCUUUAUGGUUUCCAAGAUGCUUUGUGUAAUGCUUGAGCACAAAACCAUGUCUAUGGUGUCGUCACCUCUGCAGUGUCUUUUACUUAACCCAGCACAAUGUAGUUGGUAUUUGAGAGACUUCACACUACCUAUUGCGCUAUGUAAAAAUUUUCAAGGUCAUGAAAAAAUUUUGUACCUUCCAGAUUUUCAGAAUGGAUUCAAU